rnacentral:pre_miRNA from 1 species
AGUGUGAUUGCAGGGUUAUAUAAUAAGUGUACAUUUCACUUUCUAAGUAACUGCCAAACUUUGUUCCGAAGCAGCUGCACCAUUUUGCAAUUCCAUUUUCAGU